rnacentral:rRNA from 1 species
GAGUUUGAUCUUGGCUCAGAACGAACGCUGGCGGCAUGCCUAACACAUGCAAGUCGAACGAGACCUUCGGGUCUAGUGGCGCACGGGUGCGUAACGCGUGGGAAUCUGCCCUUGGGUUCGGAAUAACUCAGAGAAAUUUGAGCUAAUACCGGAUGAUGUCGCAAGACCAAAGAUUUAUCGCCCAAGGAUGAGCCCGCGUAGGAUUAGCUAGUUGGUGAGGUAAAGGCUCACCAAGGCGACGAUCCUUAGCUGGUCUGAGAGGAUGAUCAGCCACACUGGGACUGAGACACGGCCCAGACUCCUACGGGAGGCAGCAGUGGGGAAUAUUGGACAAUGGGCGAAAGCCUGAUCCAGCAAUGCCGCGUGAGUGAUGAAGGCCUUAGGGUUGUAAAGCUCUUUUACCCGGGAUGAUAAUGACAGUACCGGGAGAAUAAGCCCCGGCUAACUCCGUGCCAGCAGCCGCAGUAAC